rnacentral:ncRNA from 2 species
AGCACGCACGGUGACUGGCGUACGGGGAAACGACCCCGAGGAAGCCGUGCGCGGGCUUUCGCACGAGGUGUCGCCCCGCCUGGGCACCCCGG